rnacentral:rRNA from 1 species
GGGCCGACCGAGUGAUCGAAAGAAAGCGUUUGAUGAAACGACUUCCUUCCUUUUUCCAGCGAGGAGGAGACGACGCGCUACUGGAGGCUGCUGCAGCACGCCCCUCCCCCGCCGCUGGUCGCAUUCGUACUUCCACUUUUAGUGCUGCUACCACUACUCUUUUCAUUUCCGGAACUCGCGCUUCACUGGCGACCGAACCCUUCCGGGAGACGACGGAUGAGAGAGGGAGACGAGAGAAGGGAACGAGCAGUGACUACUCGCGACCGACCCCCACCCCUCGACCUCUCGCCCCCGCGGCCGCCGAACGAGAAAGCGGGAGAGACUCCUUAGACCCCUUAGGCGCCGGCGCUAGCCUCCGGAGACGAGGGCGAGCCUCGGGUGGG